AGCAAAUAGAUACCCGGGUAGUCCACGCCGUAAACGAUGAAUGCUAGCCGUUGGCGGGCUUGCCCGUCAGUGGCGCAGCUAACGCUUUAAGCAUUCCGCCUGGGGAGUACGGUCGCAAGAUUAAAACUCAAAGGAAUUGACGGGGGCCCGGCACAAGCGGUGGAGCAUGUGGUUCAAUUCGAAGCAACGCGCAGAACCUUACCAGCCCUUCGACAUGUCCCGUACUGGACUCCAGAGACGGAGUUCUUCAGUUCGGCUGGCGGGAACACAGGUGCUGCAUGGCUGUCGUCAGCUCGUGUCGUGAGAUGUUGGGUUUAAGUCCCGCAACGAGCGCAACCCUCGCCCUUAGUUGCCAUCAUUUAGUUGGGCACUCUAAGGGGACUGCCGGUGAUAAGCCGGAGGAAGGUGGGGAUGACGUCAAGUCCUCAUGGCCCUUACGGGCUGGGCUACACACGUGCUACAAUGGCGGUGACAGAGGGAUGCGACGGCGCGAGCCUUUGCAAAUCUCAAAAACGCCGUCUCAGUUCGGAUU
rnacentral:rRNA from 1 species